AGCAUGGGAGGGUUAUUUAAAAUAUUUCCCCCUUAAUUAUUUAGGUUCCUUUAUAAUUCCUUAGGGAUGGGAAGGAGCUACUCAUUUUUUGUAGUACAAUGGAUAAGGCCAGGAAUUAUUUUAAUUUUUUUUUUUAAGACCACAAUAAUAAAUCAUAUUCCUAUACAGGCUACACUAUCUACGAUAAUCAGGAAAACAUUAAAACAAAUCUCUAUUGUACUGAUUCAGUUUUAGUAGCACUUAAUUUAAGCACUGUUUGUAAUCGCUGCAUUUGUAAUUGCCAUCAGAUUGACAUGAUCUAAAUAUACAGCCCAGUGUUAUGACUAUCAGAAAUAAUGCAGCAAUACCUCUUGUGUGCCAACGUUUCCAGGGAUUCUCGAAAUCAAAG